UGUCCAGUAGCACCUUAGAGACCAACUAUGUUUGUUCUUGGUAUGAGCUUUCGUGUGCAUGCACACUUCUUCAGAAAGCAUGCACACGAAAGCUCCUACCAAGAACAAACUUAGUUGGUCUCUAAGGUGCUACUGGAUA